GGAAGCAGGGGAUCGUAAGACCUCGCGCUAUUGGAGCGGCCGAUGUCCGAUUAGCUAGUUGGUGGGGUAAUGGCCUACCAAGGCGACGAUCGGUAGCUGGUCUGAGAGGAUGAUCAGCCACACUGGGACUGAGACACGGCCCAGACUCCUACGGGAGGCAGCAGUGGGGAAUUUUGGACAAUGGGCGAAAGCCUGAUCCAGCCAUGCCGCGUGAGUGAAGAAGGCCUUCGGGUUGUAAAGCUCUUUCGGCCGGAACGAAAUCGUCCGGGCUAAUACCCCGGAUGGAUGACGGUACCGGAAGAAGAAGCACCGGCUAACUACGUGCCAGCAGCCGCGGUAAUAUGUAGGGUGCAGGCGUUAAUCGGAAUUACUGGGCGUAAAGCGUGCGCAGGCGGCUUCCUAAGUCAGAUGUGAAAUCCCCGGGCUUAACCUGGGAACUGCGUUUGAAACUACAAAGC
rnacentral:rRNA from 1 species